UGAGGAAUAUUGGUCAAUGGGCGCGAGCCUGAACCAGCCAAGUCGCGUGAGGGAGGACGGCCCUACGGGUUGUAAACCUCUUUGCCGGGGAGCAACGGGCGCCACGUGUGGCGCCACUGAGAGUACCCGGAGAAAAGCAUCGGCUAACUCCGUGCC
rnacentral:rRNA from 1 species